GUAAAUUUAUAUUUUAAUGCAAAUUUACGUAAAUUAAGAUAGCCCUGAUGCUAAAUGGGCUCCUGCUGCAGGAUGCUUUAUGUACUUCAGUGCAGAAAUGGAGGUUUGGAAUUGAGGCUGUGUAACUGGGUUGGUCAUAUUUCUGAAGGUAAAGGAGCUUCCAACAGAUGACCAGACACAGUAUCAGUUCUCAGAAUUUCCAUUCACAAUGAAACCCACUUCCAGGAGGUCGACUUUGCCCCUGAGUUUGGAUUUCAGCUUUAGCAUUAUUGUGAGCAAGGGCUUCCCAGGUGGCUCAGCAGUAAAAAAUCUGCCUGCAUUGCAGGAGAUGUGGGUUCUAUCCCUGGGUUGAGAAUAUCCCCUGGAGGAGGAAAUGGCAACCCAUCCCAGUAUUCUUGCCUGGGAAAUCCCAUGGACAUAGGAGCCUGGUGGGCUAUAGUCCAGGAGGUGACGAAGAGUCAGACAUGACUGAGGGGCUAAACAACAGCAUCAGCAGUUGUGAGCAAACUUGGGUCCAUUACUUGACCUUUGUUUUCCUUAGCUUUAUCAUCUGUAGAGAGAGAUUAAAAUGAAUGAUCCCCAAAGUCUCUUCACCUGCUAACCUAAGAAACAUAAGGAAUUAAGGGACUAUAUAACAUAAACAUCUAGACUGUACAUAUAUAGAAAGUUAGAGAAGGUAACUGUAUCAUUUACUGCCUUAUUAAGACAUAUUCAUUCACUAGUAGUUUACUAACAAACUAAUUUUUUAGUAUAUAUUAGAUCUGAAAGAAACAUAAGAUGGGCUCUUUGCUUCAAGGAUGACCUCUAUCUACUUCCCCAUCUGAGGGUCAUGAAAGAAAUUCUAGUUUAGUCUUUGUUGUGGCCAAAUUAUUUGCUUUAAAUUCUGGCUCAGCAGCCAACAUACAAAAAGAAAUUAUUGAAUAGCCAGUCAUCUUGGUGAUGUUAGAAAAGUUGUUAAUUCAUGUUAGAAUUACCUUUCAGUUUUUGUUGUUCAACUUAAUUUCCUUGGAAGAAUGGCCAUGAAUUUGUUUUUGUGUAGAAUUGUUUUUUAUAAUAGAUACGACUAAAAAACUGAAUGGAAUUCCAAGCUAAAUGAUCAAAACAUUUAUUGAAGUUUUAAAAGCAGAUUGGGUUUUCAGUGGUCUGAAAGGUUGUGAAAUGAUUCUCAUAGAGGCUAUUAAUACCAAUCAAAUAAUCAUACUAACAUGAUAAUAAGUGAUAACAAUAAUAAUACAGAACCAGGCUCCUCAAUGACAGGCAUACCACAAUCCUAAAUCAGUUCAAAGAUAUAACCGUCUAAAAAUGAAUAGGACUAGGAAGAAAAACCAUCUUAUUUUUGGACCACAAGCACAGAACCUCAGAAACUCCAUUGUCUCUCUCUGAGAAGAUAUAUCCCUGAGUGAGUCUCUUAAAUGAUUAAAAAUCAAAAUUGAAAUAACAUGACACCAACCUCUUUGUUUGUCCUUCUUCUCUCACUUUCGUUGACUGUUUAUACACACACACACCAUAAAGCAAGGUACAGAUAAAGCAGAGAGUGGUUCAUUGCUGCCCGUUAACAGAUGACGGAGGCCUGCAGCAGAACGCCCAGUGGAGGAAAUCUAAGCUCACUAACUAAAUAUUCAAUGUGCUCCCAAAUCCUGAUUAUCAGGAAAAGAGCUAGAAUAGCAAACGUACAAGCAGGCUCAAUUAACCCUAAUUAGUUCAGAGUCAGGCUACAAAAGACUUAAUUAGCAGUUAUUAGGUGCCGCUCAGAAGAGGAGCAUAAAUAAUGGUUGGUAGCAAGCUGUGUUUAAGAGUCUCCUGGCUGAGUGACACCAAAAAGAAAAAAAAAAAAGUAAAAGCAUGUUCCUCCAUUGAAAAUUAAUUGUAAAAUGAUAAUAUGGGUCUUGACUUAAAUUUCAUUUAUUCAGAGUGGAUUGUUGAUGCAGUGAUUUUUUUCUGGACAACUCAGAUACUUCAGGAGAGGAGUUUGAAAGUUGAAUUCUAAUGGUGUGAUGGUUAUUCUCUACCACACAGAGAUGAGCAUCUGCUUUGGGGAUGGUGAGUGACUAAUAGGUUCAGAGGAAUAGAUAAGUCUUUGGAGGGUCUUACAUUAAGGAGGUCCAGCAAGGAAUGGUUGAUGUGCAGAAAGGACUGAGUUAUAAGCGGCAUAAAGAUGAGCUGGAGACUGGGGCCGCUCUGAUUGGUCCAAGCCUGAGUUUGAGCUGUACAUCAAAUGGGUCCAUCAAAUGGGUUUCUCUUUUCCUGUGCCAUCUAUGCACCAAUAUGUAGCUCACAGGAGCUGGAAGUUACAGACCCGCUUGACUUCAGAGUAAAAUAAUUUUCAUCAAAAAGACAUAAUGUCCAGAUUAAGAUAAGAAGCAGAGACAAGGGAAUAUGAUAUACCUUCUCCAGCAGUUUUGCUCACUCUUGUUCUUUCUCUCUCUGACACUUUUAUGGAUUAAGUAUGACCCUCAGAGAGGUAGAAAAUUUUAGUGUUCCUCUUAAGUUUUAUAGUAUCCCACACAAAAUAUGGGCUUGGCAUGAAUGGAGUCAGGAAUUAGUUUUAGAACACUCAGUUGUCUUAUGUUUUAUUGCAUAUUUGAUUAUCUGUAUUUAGGUCAGUUCAGUUCAGUUGCUCAGUUGUGUCUGACUCUUUGCAACACCAUGGACUGCAGCAUGCCAGGCUUCCCUAUCCCUCACCAACUCCCAGAGCUUGCUCAAACUCAUGUCCCUUGAGCCAGUGAUGCCAUCCAACCAUCUCAUCCUCUGUCAUCUCCUUCUCCUCCUGCCUUCAAUCUUUCCCAGCAUCAGGGUCUUUUCAAAUGAGUCAGUUCUUCACAUCAGGUGGCCAAAGUAUUGGAGCUUCAACUUCAGCAUCAGUCCUUCCAAUGGAUAUUCAGGAUUGAUUUCCUUUAGGUUGGACUGGUUGGAUCUCCUUGCAGUCCAAGAGACUCUCAAGAAUCUUCUCUAACACCACAGUUUAAAAGCAUCAAUUCUUUGGUGUUCAGCUUUCUUUAUGGUCCAACUCCAUCCAUACGUGACUACUAGAAAAGACCAUAGCUUUGACUAGAUGGACCUUUGUUAGCAAAGUAAUGUCUCUGGUUUUUAAUAUGCUGUCUGGGUUGAUCAUAGCUAAUUUUCUAAUUUCAUUUUCUAAUUUCAUGGCUGCAGUUACCAUCUGCAGUGAGUUUGGAGCCCAAGAAAAUAAAGUCUUUCACUGUUUCCAUUGUUUCACCAUCUGUUUGCCAUGAAGUGAUGGGACCAGAUGCCAUGAUCUUAGUUUUCUGAAUGUUGAGCUUUAAGCCAAAUUUUUCACUCUCCUCCUUCACUUUCAACAAGAGGCUCUUUAGUUCUUCUUUGCUUUCUGCCAUAAGGGUGGUGUCAUCUGCGUAUCUGAAGUUACUGAUAUUUCUCCCGGCAAUAUUGAUUCUAGCUUGUGCUUCCUCCAGCCCAGCAUUUCUCAUGAUGUACUCGGCAUAUAAGUUAAAUAAGCAGGGUGACAAUGUAUAGCCUUGACGUACUCCUUUCCCAAUUUGGAACCAGUUGUUGUUCCAUGUCCGGCUCUAACUGUUGCUUCUUGACCUGCAUUUCUAAGGAGGCCGGUCAGGUUGUCUGGUAUUCUCAUCUUUUAAAGAAUUUUCCACAGUUUGUUGUGAUCUACACCAUCAAAGACUUUGGCGUAAUCAAUAAAACAGAAGUAGAUGUUUUUCCAGAAUUCUCUUGCUUUUUCUGUGAUCCAGUGGAUGUAGGCAAUUUGAUCUCUGGUUCCUCUGCCUUUUCUAAAUCCAGCUUGAACAUCUGGAAGUUCACAGCUCACGUUCUGUUGAAGCCUUGCCUGGAUAAUUUUGAGCAUUACUUUGCUAGUUAAAUCUGUAUUUAACAUAAGUAUAAAUGUUAUCACUCAUAAAACUCUUGAAGCCUGGUCAUAUAUGAUUUCAUAGACCAGUACUGUUUGUAGGUGGAUAUAAAUACAGCAAACCUGUCUUUUAAGAGGCUACUUUAACCAACCAACCAAUCAUGUAAUAACUAACUUCCUCUGGAAAAGUAAUGCCAAAUGACCACUUGGGCAGAAUAGAGGUGUAUUUGUUUUCUAUUGCUGUGCAACAAACUAGCACAAAGUUAGCAUCUUAAAGCAAUAUCCAUUUAUUGGCUCAUAGUAGUAAUGGUCAGAGGAGGACUUGACUAGACUGUCAGAAGGUCAAAAUCAAGAUCAGUCUGAGCUUUGGUCUGGAGACUGUGGGAAGGAAUCCUUUUCUGAGACCGUCCAGGUUGUUUUCAUAAUCCAAUUGGCUUGUGGUUGUAGGUCUGGGAUCCUAAUUCCUUUCCUGGUUGUUAGGUGAAGGCUUCUCUCUGUUCGCAGAACCCCCCGCACCACAGCCCCUACAUUCAUUCCUACAAGUCCUGCUUUAUCUUCGAUGCAGCAAUGAUACACCAAGUCCUUCUCCCACUUUGAAUAUCUGAAUUCUCCUUCUGCUCCCAACUGGAGGAAACUCAUUGCUUUUACAAGUCCAAUGUGAUUAGUGUUGGACACACUCAAAUAACCCCUCUUUAGAGUAUGUUUGCUCAGUAACCUUGAUUAUCUCUCAGAAUCCCUCUUGUCAUGUAGCAUAACAUAAUCCCAGGUACCAUAUGGCACAUGUUUAUAGUUUUAGAGAUUAGAGCUCAACCUUCCCUCCAUCUACAACCUAGGACCCUCCUGGGGAUAGAGGGUGGCAGUGGUCACUGGGCAGGAACAGGAGAGGGAGGUUACCAGGGUGACCAACAGCCUGAGGUGGGAGAGUGGGUGGCUGGGGUGUCUAAGUCCAUAUCCUGGAGACCCAGGGGGCAAUGGAGGAAACAUUAAACAUGGGCUGGGACUCCAAGCCUCCGGCACAUUCUCUACUGUCCACUGGACCUUACAGAAAAGAGAUUGAAAGAUAAGAUUAGGAAGAAUUUAAGAUGGCAACUGGAAAAUAAUCAACCCCAUUUGGGGUUUCCUAUCUUGAGUGUGAGAGCCUGUGAGACUGAUCACAUACUCAUGAAGCUAGCUCUGAAAACAGACACUAUGUAAAUAUUUGCUAUUAUUAUUAUUGGUUUUUACUGAUAGUGAUUUUGUGGACAUUAGACACUUGGUAAGUCAUGUAUGGAUGUGAGAGUUGGACUGUGAAGAAGGCUGAGCACCGAAGAAUUGGUGUUUUUGAACUGUGGUGUUGGAGAAGACUGUUGAGAGUCCCUUGGACUGCAAGGAGAUGCAACCAGUCCAUUCUGAAGGAGAUCAACCCUGGGAUUUCUUUGGAAGGAAUGAUGCUAAAGCUGAAGCUCCAGUACUUUGGUCACCUCAUGCGAAGAGUUGACUCAUUGGAAAAGACCCUGAUGCUGGGAGGGAUUGGGGGCAGGAGGAGAAGGGGACGACAGAGGAUGAGAUAGCUGGAUGGCAUCACGGACUCGAUGGACGUGAGUCUGAGUGACCUCCGGGAGUUGGUGAUGGACAGGGAGGCCUGGCGUGCUGCAAUUCAUGGGGUCGUGAAGAGUCGGACACAACUGAGCAACUAAACUGAACUGAAGGCUGCCUUAUAAGAAAUGCGGAAAGAAUUCUUUAAGCUGAAAUGAAAGGAUGCUAAUUAGUAACAUGAAAACAUAUGAAAAUAUACAACACGCUAGUAAAGUUAAUCAUACGGUCAGAUUCAGACUUGGUAACAGAUAGUGCUGAAAUAGGAUUGUCUGUUAACUACUUAACUGUAGUAUAAAGGUUAAAGACAAAAUACUAAAAACAGCUAUACUACAAUAAUUUGUUAAUGGAUACACAGUUUCAAUAAAAUACGUAAAUUGUGACAUCAGAAACAUAGAAAAGGAGUAAAAGGGUAGUUUUGUGUGCAAAGGUGAAUCAUCAGUGUAAAUAGUGUGUUAUGUUUAGUGUUUUAUGUAAGCCUCACAGUAACCACAAAGCAAACACCUACAACAGAUUCACAAAUUAUACAGAACGGGAACAAAAGGAUAGCAUUAUGGAAAAUAAGAAAAGCGAUAGUAAUCAAAAUAAUAUGGUCCUAGCAUAAAAACAAACAGACCAAUUGGACACACUUGAGAGUUCAGACAUAACCCUAACAUAUAGUCAGUGAAUGUUUGACAGUGGAACUUAGUAUACUUAAUGAGGAAAUGAUAGUUCUUUCCAUAGAUAGUACUGAGAAAACUGAAUAAGCCCUCAACAAGGAAAUUUGACACUUACUUUACACCACUCACAAAAAUUAACUCAAAAUAGAUUAGACUUAAACAUAAGAACUGAACAUGGAAAAUUUCAAGAUGAAAACAUGCAGCUAAAUCUCCUUAAUAUCAGUCUUGGCAGCAACUUUUUUUGAUACUGCAUCAAAAGUACAGGUAGCAAAAGUAAAAAUUAAUCACCAGAACUAUAUCAAACUAAAAAGCUUCUCACAGUGGAAAAAAAAAAUACAUAAAAUAAGAAGGCAACCUAUAGAAUGAGGGAAAUGUUUUCAAACUGAAAUCAUUUAUCUGAUAAGGAGUUAAUAAUCAAAAUAUGUAAAGAAUUAAUACAAUUCAGUAGCAAAAAAAUAAUCAAUCUGAUUGAAAAAUGGUCAGAGGCACUAACUAGACAUUUGUCUAAAGAAGACAUACAAAUAGACAAUAGGUAUGUGACAAUGUGAUGGAAAUCGCUAAAUAUCAGUAAAGUGAUGCAAGUCUAAACCAUGAGAUAUCACCUCCUACCUGUCAUGAUGGCUGUUAUCAACAGGGUAAAAGAUGACAAGCGUUAGCAAAACUGGAGAAAAGGGAACCUGUGCAUUCAGGGCACUGUUCGUGGGAUGCAGGUUGGUGCAGCCCCUAUAGAAGAGUGUCGAGGCUUCUCAGGGUAUUAAAACUAUAUCCACCACAUGAUCCAGCAAGUCCACUUCCAGGUAUAGUCAAAGCCAUUGGAAUCAGGACCUUGAUGCGAUAUAUGUACUUUUUAUAGGUACAUGUAUAUCUAUCUCUAUCAGUCUAUCGUGGAAUUACUAUCCAGCCAUGAGAAAGGAAGGAAAUUCUGUCAUUUAUAACAACACAGAUGGACUUAGAAGAAAUUAUGGUAAGUGAAAUAAGUCAAACAGAGAAAGACGUAUUCUGUAUUAUAUCUGUUAUACAGAAAUCUAAAAUAAUAACAAGUCAUAGAGGGAGUGGUUACCAAGGGCUGGGUGU
ensembl:lncRNA